GACGAACGCUGGCGGCGUGCUUAACACAUGCAAGUCGAGCGGUAGGGCCCUUUCGGGGGUACGACGAGCGGCGAACGGGUGAGUAACACGUGGGUGACCUGCCCUUAGCUCUGGGAUAAGCCUGGGAAACUGGGUCUAAUACCGGAUAUGACUCCAUGACGCAUGUUGUGGGGGUGGAAAGCCUUGUGCGGCUAGGGAUGGGCCCCGCGGCCUAUCAGCUUGUU
rnacentral:rRNA from 1 species